rnacentral:lncRNA from 1 species
UUAAAUGUGACAGCACUGCCAGCAGGUACCUGUGGCCACCUAAAGCUCCGCCGGGCUUCUUCUUUUGUGUGGUGGUCUUCCUGCCUUCACUAUGCCCUCAGGCAGGAUGGGCACUACCUGCGUUCUCCUCUCUACAGUGGCAAGUGUCUUAGAAAGAGCAGUUCUCCUGCUCCAGACAGGCCCAGCCUGGAGGGCCUGAGGGUAGCAGACCCCGGUAAGUGAGUCUCUAUAUUGCUCUUUCUUACUGAGUAAGUCUGAGCUCAGAGACCAGCUGCUCUGUUCCAAGCCCGGUGAGGAGGCUGGUGAGGGCCACACUCAGGGUAGGCUGCCCAGGCCAAGUUGCUGAGCCACAGGGAGGUUCUGCAGAUGUUGGUCUCCAUAAAGCAGGCACUUGUGGCUGCCUGAAGCGCUAGGUGACCCCAUUCUUCCUGAUGCUGAAGAAGUUGUCACACAUCCACUUCCUGGAAUCCAGAAGCCUUUGUUUCCUCCUCAGACAGACAGGGAAGUCUCAGUGGGUACCAAGUUCAUCUGAAGUUUCCAGCCUUUGACCUCUGACUGGUUUCAAGAUGAGACCAUGACAGAGACGGACUAGUCAGAAAACAACAUCCAGCCACGAAACUCCAGGUGGUUACUUUUCCAUCUUUCCUGGGAUCUUGCUGGUCUUGAACUCCACAUUCUUCUACUUCAGACUCCUGAGUGUGGGGAUUACAGUCAUACAGAGCCACAUCCACUGGUCCUAAAAUAGUUUUCUUUUCUCUUUGCUUUAAGGGAACGUCUACCAAAUGCUACCUACACAGUGUUGAGACAAAUACUGUUCAGCCUCAUGUUGCUACUACGCAGAAGGAUAAGAUGGAACCCUUGUCUUCUCACACUUGAGCUGGGGCACCCACAGCUACAGAUCUGAAUAUGGCACCAUGACGAGCUGUUACCACAAUGGACUGUGGAGACCGUGUAUGAGGGGAAUGGAUGGAGGUAGCAUCUGCUUUGAGUGGCGUUUAGAUGCUUCCCUGGUAUACACUGCCACAAUAAAUAUGUCACAUUGGAAGGU